rnacentral:rRNA from 1 species
GACGAACGCUGGCGGCGUGCUUAACACAUGCAAGUCGAACGAAGUGGCGCACGGGUGAGUAACGCGUAAUCAACCUGCCCUUCAGAGGGGAACAACAGUUGGAAACGACUGCUAAUACCUCAUCCGGAAGGAGGGGAUUUCGUCGGAUUAUCUAGUUGGAGGGUUAACGUCCCACCAAGGCGAGGGUGAUUAGCCGGUCUGAGAGGAUGAACGUCCACAAUGGGCAUGAGACACCGCACAGAAUCCCACGGGAGGCAGCAGUGGGGAAUCUUCCGCAAUGGACGAAAGUCUGACGGAGCACCUCCGCGUGAGUGAUGACGGCCUUCGGGUUUUAAAGCUCUGUUAAUCGGGACGCGGUACCGGAAUAGAAAGCCACGGCUAACUACGUGCCAGCAGCCGCGGUAAUUC